AUUGAACGCUGGCGGCAUGCUUUACACAUGCAAGUCGGACGGCAGCACAGAGAAGCUUGCUUCUUGGGUGGCGAGUGGCGAACGGGUGAGUAACAUAUCGGAACGUACCGAGCAGUGGGGGAUAACUAAUCGAAAGAUUAGCUAAUACCGCAUAUUUUCUGAGGAAGAAAGCAGGGGACCUUUGGGCCUUGCGCUGUUUGAGCGGCCGAUAUCUGAUUAGCUAGUUGGUGGGGUAAAGGCCUACCAAGGCGACGAUCAGUAGCGGGUCUGAGAGGAUGAUCCGCCACACUGGGACUGAGACACGGCCCAGACUCCUACGGGAGGCAGCAGUGGGGAAUUUUGGACAAAGGGCGCAAGCCUGAUCCAGCCAUGCCGCGUGUCUGAAGAAGGCCUUCGGGUUGUAAAGGACUUUUGUCAGGGAAGAAAAGGGCGGGGUUAAUACCCCUGUCUGAUGACGGUACCUGAAGAAUAAGCACCGGCUAACUACGUG
rnacentral:rRNA from 1 species